rnacentral:rRNA from 1 species
AGAGUUUGAUCCUGGCUCAGAGUGAACGCUGGCGGCAGGCCUAAUACAUGCAAGUCGAACGGCAGCACAGCAGAGCUUGCUCUGUGGGUGGCGAGUGGCGGACGGGUGAGGAAUACAUGGGAAUCUGCCCAGUCGUGGGGGGUAACGUAUGGAAACGUACGCUAAUACCGCAUGCGCCCUACGGGGGAAAGCCGGGGACCGCAAGGCCUGGCGCGAUUGGAUGAGCCCAUGUUCGAUUAGCUAGUUGGCGGGGUAAAGGCCCACCAAGGCGACGAUCGAUAGCUGGUCUGGGAGGAUGAUCAGCCACACUGGAACUGAGACACGGUCCAGACUCCUACGGGAGGCAGCAGUAGGGAAUAUUGGACAAUGGGGGCAACCCUGAUCCAGCCAUGCCGCGUGAGUGAAGAAGGCCCUCGGGUUGUAAAGCUCUUUUGUCCGGAAAGAAAAGCAAUCGGUUAAUACCCGGUUGUCCUGACGGUACCGGAAGAAUAAGCACCGGCUAACUUCGUGCCAGCAGCCGCGGUAAUACGAAGGGUGCAAGCGUUACUCGGAAUUACUGGGCGUAAAGGGUGCGUAGGUGGUUUUUUAAGUCUGCUGUGAAAUCCCCGGGCUCAACCUGGGAAUGGCAGUGGAUACUGGAAAGCUGGAGUGCGGUAGAGGGUAGUGGAAUUCCCGGUGUAGCAGUGAAAUGCGUAGAGAUCGGGAGGAACAUCCGUGGCGAAGGCGGCUACCUGGACCAGCACUGACACUGAGGCACGAAAGCGUGGGGAGCAAACAGGAUUAGAUACCCUGCUAGUCCACGCCCUAAACGAUGCGAACUGGAUGUUGGGUGCAACUUGGCACUCAGUAUCGAAGCUAACGCGUUAAGUUCGCCGCCUGGGGAGUACGGUCGCAAGACUGAAACUCAAAGGAAUUGACGGGGGCCCGCACAAGCGGUGGAGUAUGUGGUUUAAUUCGAUGCAACGCGAAGAACCUUACCUGGCCUUGACAUGCACGGAA